UACGUAGGGCGCAAGCGUUGUCCGGAAUUAUUGGGCGUAAAGAGCUCGUAGGCGGCUUGUCGCGUCGACUGUGAAAACCCACGGCUUAACUGUGGGCUUGCAGUCGAUACGGGCAGGCUAGAGUUCGGUAGGGGAGACUGGAAUUCCUGGUGUAGCGGUGAAAUGCGCAGAUAUCAGGAGGAACACCGGUGGCGAAGGCGGUUCUCUGGGCAUGUCCUGACGCUGAGGAGCGAAAGUGUGGGGAGCGAACAGG
rnacentral:rRNA from 1 species